CUUUGAGGGGAAGGGGAGAUUGGUGUAGGCACAGGUAUCUGGUUGCAGCAGGGGGUCACGCUCUGAACAAGGCAGGGGGCUGCCAGCCAUCCCCCGAGUGUCUGUGAGGAAAGCAUGUCCCUGUUCCCUAGAACACAGAGUUCGGUGGGUUCUGUAGCUGGACUAUGGGCACCCAAUGCUUUUCGUUGUAAGGACUGGUAGGAAUGACUUACCCUUGGACCCCUGUCAUGGGUGGCUAGGUGACAUGGGUGGAGCCACCAGUCCUCAGGCCCCUGAUGUAGGUAGGUGAGGACCCUGUUUAAGAGGCAAAGAGUUGUCAAACAUCAAAAACCCACCUCUCCACCACACAGCUGAGACUGUUAAAGUCAGAUCUCAAGCAGAUGCACCGUUGCGGUCUACCAACAAGGGCCUAAUCUGAAAUGGGCCCACACAGCUCCAUGCAGGGGUUAAAGGUAUUCAAAGUUCACAGACCAUUUGUGCCUGGACAGGAGCUGCUUCUGUCCUGAGCUCCCCAGCUUAGUGGAGCUGGCAGAUUAUCUUUUCCCCCAAGGCCGGGAGAAUGGCUCAGGGUGUGCAUCAGGACCUAUCUCAGGCCCAGGGAAAUCAAUGGCCACUGAAGCUGGCUUGGGGGCUUGGGGGCACGGUAAAAUAAACGCAAGUACUUAGCUUUUGCCGAGAGAGCUGUUGUUCUGUGGUUUGGGAUGUGUGAGUAGACUGUGCGGCUGGCUGUCUCUCCCUGAGGAAACCACGUCCUGAAUGCCACCACCAGCCCUGCUGCAGUUGCUCUGGGGGAUUGUGCCUGAGGGGCACUGGUUCCUGCCGAGUCAGGUCUAGCAACUGCUUGCAGCUUUUGAACCAUCUCUCCGUCCCUCUGCCACUCAGUCUAACUUCUGAACUUUGCCUUUGAUGUUCAAGGAUCCUAUCUCGUCAUAAAUAUAACCAUUUCACUUGUUUUUUCAGGUCUUUGUUGUAAGAGGGAUCCCGGAAGCAUCUGACUACUCCACCAUCUUGGCCCCGCCUCACCCCAGAGCAACCUUAGAAAUUGUUUCAGAGAUGGCAAGACUGUUGUCAGCCUGGGUCCCUGGAUCACUGCAUUGAGGAGGCCCACCUCAGUGACAGACCUUUCACCUGUCCAUUGGUGAUCGAUUGAUCGUGGUCCAGCAUGCAGAAGUGAGUGAGUGGUGAAAAGCAGCAGAGCUGAUGGAUUGCGAAGACGUGUUUGAAGGCUGCCACACUGUCUACUCCAGGGCAGCAGCUGUGAUGUAUGACCUGCCCAUGGAGAGACUCAUGUGACAAAGACCUGAGGGAGGGUCCUGAUCAACAGACAGACAGGAGUGAGGCCCCCCAGUCCAAAAGCUCAUGGAGUACUGCUGAUAACACGGAAGUGAGUAGGGAACAGAUCGUCCCCAGUCAAGACUCAGUUGAGACCACAACCACAGGCUCCUGAGAACUUGGAGAAGUCACCAGAUUGUGAGCUCCAGCAGACAGGGACCACAUGGGUCAUUUUCAGAACCAGCUCCUGGAGGACCUGCUGAUGUUGAUCCUGCUCCUGCACUAACACUGGAGCUCCACAGUGCACCAACUAUUCCGUCACCAGCUCCAUCACCAGCGUCAGAUGGACAGUCAGCUGGAGGCGUAGAGUUCAAUCGUAGCCACCUCCUGAAUGGCUCCGAGACCACCUGCUGAUGUCGAUCCGGCUCCUGCUCAAUAUAAGAGCUCUAUAGGACACCAGGUCCUCCAUCUCCAGCUCUGCCUCGGUCACCAGAGGUUGAGCCAUUUGCUGCAAGUCCUCCACAGCCACCCCUCAUUCACAGCUAGGGAACGUUAGCUCCAGAAACACACCCUUUCUUCAGCUCACCUGAGCGGGAAUUUCUUUGGUUUUGUGGUAAUAUUUUUCCAGAUCACUUUAUACUUCAUAGUUUAUUCUAUUUUAACUGGUAGAUUUCUCAUAAAAUUUGUUUUAAUAAUUUUUAAGUGUGUAGUAUACUGGCUUUAUGUACUUUUACAAUCUUAUUCAACCAUCAUCAGUACCUACUUCAGAACAUUUUCAUCACCACUGUGAUAGUUAAUGUUAUGUGUCAGUUUGGUUAGGUGAUGAUUCCCAGGGUUUGGCAGACGUUAUGUAAUUAGCCUCCAUUUUGUGAUCUGAUGUGAGCAGCCAAUCAUUUGGAAGAGGAGUUUCCUUGGAGGAGUGAACUGCAAAUUAACACAUCUCCUGGUACCUGGUAUGCAGCCGUUGAUGUGGCCAAUGCCUUUUUCUUCAUCCUUCUUUUGAAGGACAGGCCCUUCUUGGUGAAUCACUGCGCAGAUCUGCAGCAUUUUGGAGCAAAGCCCUGCCAUCCUCUGCAGAUAACUACUUUCCUUUUUUUUUUUAAAUAAUUUUUAUGGUGCUUUAAGUGAAAGUUUACAAAUCAAGUCAGUCUGUCACAUAUAAGCUUAUAUACACCUUACUCCAUACUCCCACUAACUCUCCCCCAAUGAGUCAGCCCGCGCCCUCCUUCCAGUCUCUCCUUUCGUGACAAUUUUGCCAGUUUCUAACCCUCUCUAUCCUCCCAUCUCCCCUCCAGACAGGAGACGCCAACACAGUCUCAAGUGUCUACCUGAUACAAGUAGCUCACUCUUCAUCAGCAUCUCUCUCCAUCCCAUUGUUCAGUCCCUUCCAUGUCUGAUGAGUUGUCUUCGGGAAUGGUUCCCUCCCUGGGCCAACAGAAGGUUUGGGGACCAUGACCGCCGAGAUUCUUCUAGUCUCAGUCCGACCAUUAAGUCUGGUCUUUUUAUGAGAAUUUGGGGUCUGCAUCCCACUGAUCUCCUGCUCCCUCAGAGGUUCUCUGUUGUGCUCCCUGUCAGGGCAGUCAUGGGUUGUGGCCGGGCACCAACUAGUUCUUCUGGUCUCAGGAUGAUGUAAGUCUCUGGUUCAUGUGGCCCUUUCUGUCUCUUGGGCUCAUAGUUAUUGUGUGACCUUGGUGUUCUUCAUUCACCUUUCAUCGAGAUGGGUUGAGAACGACUGAUGCAUCUUAGAUGGCCGCUUGUUAGCAUUUAGGACCGCAGAUGCCACGCUUCAAAGUGGGAUGCAAAAUGUUUUCAUAAUAGAAUUAUUUUGCCAGUUGACUUAGAAGUCCCCUUAAGCCAUAGUCCCCAAACCCCCACCCUUGCUCUGCUGACCUUCAAAGCAUUCAGUUUAUCCCGGAAACUUCUUUGCUUUUGGUCCAGUCCAG